rnacentral:rRNA from 1 species
UACGGAAGGGGCAAGCGUUGUUCGGAAUUAUUGGGCGUAAAGGGCGCGUAGGCGGCUCCAUAUGUCGGCGGUGAAAGCAUACAGCUCAACUGUAUUGAGCCGCGGAAACUGUGGGGCUUGAGGCUGGGAGGGGCUGGUGGAAUUCCCUGUGUGGCGGUGAAAUGCGUAGAGAUGGGGGAGAACACUUGUGGCGAAGGCGGCCAGCUGGACCAGUUCUGACGCUGAGGCGCGAAAGCGUGGGGAGCAAACAGG